CAAGGUGCAUCAGACUAAACA
rnacentral:piRNA from 1 species